UACGAAGGGGGCUAGCGUUGCUCGGAAUCACUGGGCGUAAAGCGCACGUAGGCGGACUCUUAAGUCGGUGGUGAAAUCCUGGAGCUCAACUCCAGAACUGCCUUCGAUACUGAGAGUCUCGAGUCCGGGAGAGGUGAGUGGAACUGCGAGUGUAGAGGUGAAAUUCGUAGAUAUUCGCAAGAACACCAGUGGCGAAGGCGGCUCACUGGCCCGGUAUUGACGCUGAGGUGCGAAAGCCAGGGGAGCAAACGGG
rnacentral:rRNA from 1 species